UACAACAACAGAAACAUAAAAAAACUAAUACAAUUGAAAAAGGCACAUACAAUUAUUAAAUUGAAAUUUAUUUAUUCAUCUUUGUUAAUGUUAAUUCAAAAAAUACAAUCAUUUCAUGUUAGCUCACUGUGCAUAAACUAACUGUUGUAGAGCUAUUGUUCAUUCUUUGUUCAUGUUAACUAAGGUUGUUAACUAAUGAACCUUGUUGUAAAGUGUUACCAAAUGUUAUUAAGAAUAUAUAAAUGAAAAAUAAAUAGAAAACAAAUCAAUUGUGUGUGUACAUGAAUACAGAAUGCAGAUUUUAAGCAGAUUGCUCCAGAUUGCUUAUUUCUCAUUGACCUAAAGAAUGAACCACGAGCAGAGCAGUGCAUUACGCACAGAGCCCAUUGCAUCUCAUCCCUUUCUAACAGACAACAUUUGGAUAAUAAUGGAUUAAUCUGACAUAAUUAUUUCGUCUUAGGCGCAGACCUCUAGUCACGGCUAUAAGAAGAUGCAGCGAUGAGCUAAUUUACUGUAUUGUCAGAGGGCCUAUCAUGGCUUCUUAUUAGGCUGCAUAGCAAAUCCUAAGCUAAAUGAUCUGUGUCCGGCCUUCCGAGGGAGAAGACGGCAUUCUGCAGCACAAGUUCCGCCAGCGCAAAUGAGAUGCGAGAUUUGAAGAGAAAUCCUCUCCCCCAUACAGAUAUAAAAGCAAGGACGUGCACACAGCCGCCUCCCGAUCCAAACAUUGACUCAUCAGCACACGCCACCUGUGAAAACACCAAGCUAUUUUCACAGGAAUAAAGAGAUGCAACCAACUUGCGCGUUUAACUGUUAUGCGCCGCGCUUAAUUCCGGCACAGUUGUGUGCGUGUCCUAAACCUACAAUUUAUCACAUAAAUGCCAGAUAAACCUAAUCACUAUGCUAACAUUUGCAGCUCCGAUUGUGCCAAACACAGAAGCGUUAAUUAAUCUAAUGUUCUUGCGGCAGACGCAAGCAGUCGCACAUGCAGGCACGCUGUGGGAGUGAUUUGUAAGGCACCAUGUGGGGCUCUAAUCUGCGGGUUGCAGCGGGAUCUUUACAGCCUGCUCACGGGCCCGAGUGGCAGAAAUUAGGCCCAAAUUCAAUCAGUCGUCCAGGCAGGCUUGGGCUUUUUCCUGCAGGCCUCGGGGCGCCUUGGGACGCGAGCUCCAUCUGCACUAGGGGUACGGAGAGCUUGCGCUCGCGGCGCUAGGGAGUUAUGAGUAUUGCGAGCCGCCAUCUCUCCGCACAUUAGUGUCACGGCUAAACUAAAUAAGGACUCAGGGCUUGAGUGUUUAGCUGAGGAGUAAUUUAAUUUAGGCAACAACGUGCUGUUGUAAAUCACAAGGAUGAGACGGUGGACUGCAUCUGGAGAGGGGUAUUUAUCUCAAGGCAAUACCAGAACAUUGAGUUAAAAAGAAAUCACACCCUGAGAUUAUAUUUCCCGUUCGUAUUUCUGCCUGAUUUGGAAGCCGAAGUAAAUGCGCAGCCAGAGCAGAAAACAGCUCCUAUUUUUCGAGCAAGUUAACUUUCAUACGGUCAUUGUUGAGGGAUUUUUGCAGCGGCAUCGAGCGCUGAGAGCACUGUAUUACCCGAUUGCAUCAACUAAUCCGCCAACCUAUUUGCUGAGGAAUAUACAGAGCAAGACACUGGAGAACGCAUUUCGCGUCUGACUCGGUCGUCUGUGAAAUUGAUAAGCCACAAGAGAUCGACCGUUUCGUACGAAGCCGCAAACACGCAUAAAACAUUGUGGAACACAGAAGAGCAGGAAAAGCAGGAGCCAUGUGCGCCGUACUCAGGUAAAUUGUCUGCAUAUCUCAAAUAUAAUUCAUCAUCCCCAGCUGCAGCCCUGGCAUAUUCAUUUUUCUCUCUCCCUCUCUUUCUGCACGCUGAAGGAUUGUGGGCGAUGUGAUAGGGUGCAUAGGUUGUCCCUUGAGGCCAAACUGACAUGAUUGGAGCUCCCAUUAAAACCAGAAUGAAAAGUCCUCACAAUGGGAGAAACUCUUGGGAGCAAAAUCGGCCCUGGAGACCGGAAUAAUCCCAGGGUUUUUUCAUCAGCAGAUGCUGAACGCAGCAUACAUCUGACUUCACAGUAAAGCUGUCACUUAUAACCACUCUAAGCAAAAUAAUAGAUUUGAAGGUUUGGGAAUAUUAUUCAAUUUUACAGCCCACCGUGAAAGAGGGUUUUAUUUCCCUCACAGAAAUGACUUCGUCUGCCCAAUUGCUGUUCCUGAAGCAAACAGCGGGCUAGAGGGAGAGGAGGAGAGAUGAAAGAACAUCAAUGCAGAGAAAAUGUGCAAAACCACAGAGAAGCACUGCCUGGCAUAAUGACUCAGCUACCGCGCAGGGACCAACAACUUUCUAAAGCAUCUCAGACAUUAGGCAGAGAGGCGGGAUGCUCCUUGCCCAGUACUCUAGCUGUGGGCGCUGCCUGAUGCAAUUAAAACGAGCCCACGGAGCCUGUGCGCAGACGCAGUGAUGUGCCUCGUACUACUGAAGAACAUCACAUCAGUGUUGUAAGGACGACCGGGCCCUAAUCUACACUUUUUCAACAGCCGGCACACCAUGCAUAAUUAACACACAUUACUAAUUCAAACCUAAAGUGGUUCCCAUGUAAUCUACUGCAGUUCACUUUAAUUAAACACAUGUACUCUCGAACGAUCUGCAACCGUGUAAUGUGUGUGAAUGAAUAAAGAACAGCAAUGGGAUUCGGUCAUGUGCAACGGCAGACCCAUAAACCCAAAACCCGAUGGAUCAUUUCAGGGCUUAAUAUUAUGCAAUAAAUUGGAGCCAAAUUUAAAAAAAAAAAAAUUUGGGCACUUAAAAAUGUAUGAAUUUCAUUGCACGUGUAAUAAAAGAUGCAUUUUCAGACAAAUUAUAAUUUUCCGAGAGAUAACUUUGUUUUUGGAUGUACUGUAAUUGUGCAAUGACUUCAGAUCUGAAGGUUAUUUUUCUACCCGGUCUCAUAGCAUAAACGUA